AUUGAACGCUGGCGGCAUGCCUUACACAUGCAAGUCGAACGGUAACAGGUCUUCGGAUGCUGACGAGUGGCGAACGGGUGAGUAAUACAUCGGAACGUGCCCGAUCGUGGGGGAUAACGUAGCGAAAGCUACGCUAAUACCGCAUACGAUCUAUGGAUGAAAGCGGGGGAUCGCAAGACCUCGCGCGAUUGGCGCGGCCGAUAUCAGAUUAGGUAGUUGGUGGGGUAAAGGCCCACCAAGCCGACGAUCUGUAGCUGGUCUGAGAGGACGACCAGCCACACUGGGACUGAGACACGGCCCAGACUCCUACGGGAGGCAGCAGUGGGGAAUUUUGGACAAUGGGCGCAAGCCUGAUCCAGCAAUGCCGCGUGCAGGAUGAAGGCCUUCGGGUUGUAAACUGCUUUUGUACGGAGCGAAAAGGCUCUCUCUAAUACAGGGGGCUCAUGACGGUACCGUAAGAAUAAGCACCGGCUAACUACGUGCCAGCCGCCGCAGUAAAAC
rnacentral:rRNA from 1 species